rnacentral:rRNA from 1 species
GAUGAACGCUGGCGGCGUGCUUAACACAUGCAAGUCGAACGGGAAAUACUUCAUUGAGACUUCGGUGGAUUUGAUUUAUUUCUAGUGGCGGACGGGUGAGUAACGCGUGGGUAACCUGCCUUAUACAGUGGGAUAACAGUCAGAAAUGACUGCUAAUACCGCAUAAGCGCACAGGACCGCAUGGUCCGGUGUGAAAAACUCCGGUGGUAUAAGAUGGACCCGCGUUGGAUUAGCUGGUUGGUGGGUUAACGGCCCGCCAAGGCGACGAUCCAUAGCCGGCCUGAAAGGGUGAACGGCCACAUUGUGACUGAGACACGGCCCAGACUCCUACGGGAGGCAGCAGUGGGGAAUAGUGCACAAUGGGGGAAACCCUGAUGCAGCGACGCCGCGUGAAGGAAGAAGUAUCUCGGUAUGUAAACUUCUAUCAGCAGGGAAGAUAGUGACGGUACCUGACUAAGAAGCCCCGGCUAACUACGUGCCAGCCGCCGCGGGAACAC